rnacentral:rRNA from 1 species
ACCACAACGGGUGGAGCCUGCGGUUUAAUUGGACUCAACGCCGGGCAGCUCAUCGGAUAAGACAGCUGGAUGAUAGCCGGGCUGAAGACUCUGCUUGACUAGCUGAGAGGAGGUGCAUGGCCGUCGUCAGUUCGUACUGUGAAGCAUCCUGUUAAGUCAGGCAACGAGCGAGACCCACGCCAACAGUUGCCAGCAUGUCCUCCGGGAUGAUGGGGACACUGUUGGGACCGCCUCUGCUAAAGAGGAGGAAGGAAUGGGCAACGGUAGGUCAGCAUGCCCCGAAUUAUCCGGGCUACACGCGGGCUACAAUGGUCAGGACAAUGGGUAUCGACACCGAGAGGUGGAGGCAAUCUCCUAAACCUGUCCUUAGUUCGGAUUGUGGGCUGCAACUCGCCCACAUGAAGCUGGAAUCCGUAGUAAUCGCGUUUCAAAAUAGCGCGGUGAAUAUGUCCCUGCUCCUU